AGAGAAUACAAAUCUCUAGCCUAAUUACCAUAGAAUACCAUUAAAAAUAACUUAAACCCACCUUAGAUCAGAUCAAAACAUCACGCCAAAAAAAUACAUAAUUAAAGACAAAAUAUAUUUUGAUUUCUUCUUUACAAAAGCUUGCCAUUUGCCACUUUUUGAUUGCACCCCUUAAAGCCUCCACUUUCAAGUUUUAGCUCUUGAGCAAUAAGUUCUGAUUUCCCCCCUUUGUACGUUUGUCUCUUGAGCAAUACAACUUUCUUACUUUACCUUAACCGUGCAGCCCCUUAACCUUUGCCAUGUUUUUCAUCUAUCAGUUGAUUCUCCAUUUUGUAACUCCACCUCUUCAAUUUUAGAAUCCUACAGUCAUGUCACUCCUUGCACAAAAGAAUCUGUCUCAAACACUCAGCUUUUCAUCUAGCUGAUGCAACAAAGCUGUGAAUCUGAUCUGCUACUACACCGGCCAACUCUUCAAUAAUUGAACUUCCGUUGAGUAAUCUUCAAUACUCUGGCUUCCUAACACAUUACCUAAAUGUCCAAGGCAUAGCAAAGGUCACCGAUUUCGCUCAAAGCUUCUACUACCUGACUUGCUCAAUCUGCAAGAGAGCAACAAAUGCAUACGAAAAUGGAGACUUUUGGUGCAACUACUGUGCCAAAAAAGUACCAGCCCUGACAAAGAUCAAAUUCAAUAUCCAGAUCAC